rnacentral:lncRNA from 1 species
UUUUUUCGUAUCAUUCUUUACAAAGUCGUUCUGACUUUCAUCUACUGAGGGUAGUACGGAUUUUUGACUACCCAUGUGGAAUGAUCAGUUCAGGUAUAAUUGCAAAUUGCGGCUUGCCAAACCAUUGCACGAUCUAUGACCACAGUCAUGCUAGCCAUAGUGGUCCUACAAUAAGACUAUGGCCAGGACUGUACUUUGAUAAAGGUGACCCCCACAGUAAUAUCGCGUCACCGCUCUCGUC